ensembl:misc_RNA Metazoa_SRP Metazoan signal recognition particle RNA
GCUGGGCAUGGUGGCGCGUGCCUGUAGUCCCAGCUACUCAGGAGGCUGAGGCAGGAGAAUCGCUUGAACCCAGGAGUUGGAGGUUGCGGUGAACCGAGAUCGUGCCAUUGCACUCCAGCCUGGGUGAUAGAGCAAGAUUCUGUCUCAG